GGCCCUGAGGUGUUAUUCACAUUGAAUUGCAAAUUCAAAGAAGCAGCUUCAAUCCUGCCGGGGCUU
rnacentral:tRNA from 1 species